rfam:Pseudogymnoascus pannorum VKM F-4520 (FW-2644) contig_1967, whole genome shotgun sequence.
CGGUGUGAUGAACAAGUGACAACUAUAGGAAUUCCUCAUUCCGAAUAUAUCAUGUAGAUUCUGUCUUACAGUUUCAGCCUUGUCUGACC